AUAGCGUAUAGUACCGUGAGGGAAAGGUGAAAAGAACCCCGGGAGGGGAGUGAAAUAGAACCUGAAACCCUGCACUUACAAGCUGUGGGAGCACAUUACUUGUGUGACCGCGUACUUUUUGUAGAACGGGCCAACGAGUUACGUUAAGUAGCAAGGUUAAGCACUUAAGGUGUGGAGCCGUAGCGAAAGCGAGUCUUAAAUGGGCGAUUAAGUUACUUGGCGUAGACCCGAAACCGGGCGACCUAUCCAUGAGCAGGUUGAAGCGAAAGUAAAAUUUCGUGGAGGACCGAACCCACGAGCGUUGAAAAGCUCGGGGAUGACUUGUGGAUAGCGGUGAAAUUCCAAUCGAGCCCGGAGAUAGCUGGUUCUCCCCGAAAUAGCUUUAGGGCUAGCCUCAAGCGUAGAGAAACGGAGGUAGAGCACUGAAUGUCCUAGGGGGUAUUGCACUUACCGAAGACUAUCAAACUCCGAAUGCCGUAUUCUUUUGCUUGGGAGUCAGACUAUGGGUGAUAAGAUUCAUAGUCAAGAGGGCAACAGCCCAGAUCGUCAGCUAAGGUCCCUAAAUGUAAGUUAAGUGGUAAAGGAUGUGGGAUUGCACAGACAACCAGGAUGUUGGCUUAGAAGCAGCCACUCAUUUAAAGAGUGCGUAAUAGCUCACUGGUCGAGUGAUCCUGCGCCGAAAAUUUCCGGGGCUAAAACGUACUACCGAAGCUACGGCAUCAUUUAUGAUGGGUAGGAGAGCUUCCCAUACGGGUUGAAGCAUGACCGAAAGGACAUGUGGACUGUAUGGGAGUGAGAAUGUUGGCAUGAGUAGCGAGAUGUGGGUGAGAAUCCCACAGGCCGUAAACCCAAGGUUUCCAGGGGAAGGUUCGUCCGCCCUGGGUUAGUCGGGACCUAAGCCGAGGCCGAAAGGCGUAGGUGAUGGACAACAGGUUGAUAUUCCUGUACCGCCAAUAAGCGUUUGAGAGAUGGAGUGACACAGUAGGAUAAGCUAACCGUACUGUUGGUUAUGUACGGCUAAGCAUUGAGGCAGUCUAAAUAGGCAAAUCCGUUUAGACAAUGCUAGGAUGUGAUGGGGAAGCCCUUCGGGGCGAAGUAGCUGAUUUCACACUGUCAAGAAAAGCUUCUAUCGAGUUUAAAGGCGCCCGUACCGUAAACCGACACAGGUGGGUGAGGAGAGUAUCCUAAGGCCAGCGAGAGAACUAUUGUUAAGGAACUCGGCAAAAUGACCCCGUAACUUAGGGAGAAGGGGUGCCUGUCUAUGACAGGCCGCAGAGAAUAGGCCCAAGCGACUGUUUACCAAAAACACAGGUUUCUGCUAAGUCGCAAGACGAUGUAUAGGAGCUGACGCCUGCCCGGUGCUGGAAGGUUAAGGGGAUCUGUUAGAGCAAUCGAAGCAGUGAACUUAAGCCCCAGUAAACGGCGGCCGUAACUAUAACGGUCCUAAGGUAGCGAAAUUCCUUGUCGGGUAAGUUCCGACCCGCACGAAAGGCGUAACGAUUUGGGCACUGUCUCAACAAUAGACUCGGUGAAAUUGUAAUCCCGGUGAAGAUGCCGGGUACCUGCGACAGGACGGAAAGACCCCAUGGAGCUUUACUGUAGCUUGACGUUGGGUCUUGGUACUACAUGUACAGGAUAGGUGGGAGACUAUGAAGCAUGGACGCCAGUCUGUGUGGAGUCAUCCUUGGGAUACCACCCUUGUAGUACUGGGAUCCUAACCAUAGGCCUUGAAUCAGGUCUUGGAACACCGUCAGGUGGGCAGUUUGACUGGGGCGGUCGCCUCCUAAAAAGUAACGGAGGCGCUCAAAGGUUUCCUCAGCACGGUCGGAAAUCGUGCGAAGAGUGUAAAGGCAAAAGGAAGCUUGAUUGCAAGACAUACAGGUCGAGCAAGGACGAAAGUCGGACUUAGUGAUCCGGUGGUUCCGCAUGGAAGGGCCAUCGCUCAACGGAUAAAAGCUACCCUGGGGAUAACAGGCUUAUCUCCCCCAAGAGUCCACAUCGACGGGGAGGUUUGGCACCUCGAUGUCGGCUCAUCACAUCCUGGGGCUGUAGUAGGUCCCAAGGGUUGGGCUGUUCGCCCAUUAAAGUGGUACGCGAGCUGGGUUCAGAACGUCGUGAGACAGUUCGGUCCCUAUCCGUCGCAGGCGUAGGAAAUUUGAGAAGACCUGUCCUUAGUACGAGAGGACCGGGAUGGACGUACCUCUGGUGUACCAGUUGUUCUGCCAAGGGCAUGGCUGGGUAGCUAUGUACGGAAUGGAUAAGCGCUGAAAGCAUCUAAGCGCGAAGCCAACUUCAAGAUAAGAUUUCCCACCG
rnacentral:rRNA from 1 species